ensembl:lncRNA
UUUUGAGAAGCUCCCUGUGGCGGCUGAACUUCUCACGCAAGAGUGAGAGCGAGAAGAUAGGCCCAGAGCUGCGCACAGCCUCAGAACCAGAUGGUCUGUUAGCCCCGAUCUGAGCCAGGACCCCCAGACCCCACCCAUCCGGCCUCCCCGCCUCUACUCUUCCUCGCCGCAGUCGAGGGGCCAGGAAGAUGGACGAGAGGAAGAGGGCGCCCGGGACCUCAGCUAAGGUUUAGGACGAGGAAGCCUGUGUGCAGGAUGAAGACGCUGUGUGCCAGGCUCUAUAUACUAGACAUCGGGGAUUCAGCAGUGAGCAAGACAGAGGCCCACAGAGCUCAGAAUGCUGUGGGAGCCAGGUAGGAUCACAUGGAAGGGUCAGAGUGGAACUGAG